AGAGUUUGAUCCUGGCUCAGAUUGAACGCUGGCGGCAUGCUUUACACAUGCAAGUCGAACGGUAGACCCUUUCGGGGGUUGAGAGUGGCGAACGGGUGAGUAAUGCAUCGGAACGUGCCUAGUCGUGGGGGAUAACGUAGCGAAAGUUACGCUAAUACCGCAUACGCACUGAGGUGGAAAGCGGGGGACCGUAAGGCCUCGCGCGAUUGGAGCGGCCGAUGUCGGAUUAGCUAGUUGGUGAGGUAAAGGCUCACCAAGGCGACGAUCCGUAGCGGGUCUGAGAGGAUGAUCCGCCACACUGGGACUGAGACACGGCCCAGACUCCUACGGGAGGCAGCAGUGGGGAAUUUUGGACAAUGGGCGCAAGCCUGAUCCAGCCAUGCCGCGUGCGGGAAGAAGGCCUUCGGGUUGUAAACCGCUUUCGGACAGAAAGAGAUCGCAUGGACUAAUACUCUGUGUGGAUGACGGUACUGUAAGAAGAAGCACCG
rnacentral:rRNA from 1 species